GUCGAAAAAAAGUCAUUUUUAAAAAUGUAUCCAAAAUUAUUAAAUCAAGCUUAUCUAUGUUGAGGUCCAGGGUAGAACUUGAAAGAAAGCAGAGAAGAGACUCAUGAAUCGAGCCAGAAGAUGAAGAGGGAUGUGGUCCACAUACAGUUUUUCCAUAUAACCUUCCUUAUUGGGAGUAUGCAGGAGAUUGAGUCGAUCUUGAAUUCCUGAAACAGAUACCACUUAAGUGGGUUCAAGGAGCUUCAAGGAAAAUCACUACAAAACCCAGGGUGCUAGAAAACGUAUGACCAGAUGGGAAUAUCCUGUCUUCUUCAGGCCCAUGAAGAUAACGUAGAAGAAGCCUCCAAUGUCAUAGUUACAUAGCCUGAAAAGAGACAUGUGUCUAUCAAGUUCAGCCUUCCUCACAUCUGUUUUUUUGCUGUUGAUCCAAAAGAAGGCAGAAAACCCAGUUUGAAGCACUUCCAAUUUUGUAACAAACUAGGGAAAAAAAUCCUUCUUGACCGAAGAAUGGCAGCCAGUUUUAUCCUUGGAUCAAUAUGUCCUGUGCCUAUUAUACUGCGCCUUUGGAAAACAAUGUCUGGAUUUCCUUGUCUAUGAAAGCCUUGUGUUCUUUGGAGACAUAGCAUGAUGUGAUGUAGCCCUGUACUAUAUGUAGAAUCCAAGCGUCUGAUAAUAUGACUACCCAAUCCUCUCAGAAAAGUAACAUCCUGCCUGCUACUAACUGUCACGCCGCCAGCCGGGCCCGCUCCAGCCAGAGAGCGGUAUGGGUCCCGGUGGGCGCGUAUCGUUGCGGCGGCAUUCCCACAUCGCAAGGGGAAUGCCGCCGAAUACUCACUCGUCCUCCAGGCACCCGCUGAGUCCCCUCAUGCCUGGUAGCGGACUGGGACCCGGCGGGCGCAUCUCGUUGUGGGGGCAUUCCCAGGUGGUAAUGGGAAGUUGGCCGUGGGCGGCAGAGUUUCUGUCAGACGUGGUCAUAUUCCGGCUCCCGGCAUCAGUAGACAGCCCGAGAUACUCACUUGGAGUAUUGUACACAGUACUGGAGACCGUAUCUUCAGAAGGAUAUUGAUACCUUAGAGAGGGUUCAGAGAAGGGCUACUAAACUGGUUCAUGGAUUGCGGGAUUAAACUUACCAGGAAAGGUUAAAGGAUCUUAACAUGUAUAGCUUGGAGGAAAGACGAGACAGGGGGGAUAUGAUAGAAACAUUUAAAUAUAUAAAGGGAAUCAACACAGUAAAGGAGGAGACUAUAUUUAAAAGAAGAAAAACUACCACAACAAGAGGACAUAGUCUUAAAUUAGAG